AGUGAGUUAGUAUAAUAAUACCGUUGACUUAGGAUCAACUAAUAAGUAAUAACUUACUCACUA
rnacentral:tRNA from 1 species